rnacentral:rRNA from 1 species
UACAGAGGUCCCGAGCGUUGUUCGGAUUCACUGGGCGUAAAGGGUGCGUAGGUGGUGAGGUAAGUCGGAAUGUGAAAUCUCCAAGACUCAACUUGGAAACUGACAUUGGAAACUACCUUGCUAGAGGAUUUGAGGGGGGAUUGGAAUACUUGGUGUAGCAGUGAAAUGCGUAGAUAUCAAGUGGAACACCAGUGGCGAAGGCGAAUCCCUGGAAAAUACCUGACACUGAGGCACGAAAGCUAGGGGAGCAAACAGG